UUGAACGCUGGCGGCAGGCCUAACACAUGCAAGUCGAGCGGUAACAGAAAGUAGCUUGCUACUUUGCUGACGAGCGGCGGACGGGUGAGUAAUGCUUGGGAACAUGCCUUUAGGUGGGGGACAACAGUUGGAAACGACUGCUAAUACCGCAUAACGUCUACGGACCAAAGGGGGCUUCGGCUCUCGCCUAAAGAUUGGCCCAAGUGGGAUUAGCUAGUUGGUGAGGUAAUGGCUCACCAAGGCAACGAUCCCUAGCUGGUUUGAGAGGAUGAUCAGCCACACUGGAACUGAGACACGGUCCAGACUCCUACGGGAGGCAGCAGUGGGGAAUAUUGCACAAUGGGCGAAAGCCUGAUGCAGCCAUGCCGCGUGUGUGAAGAAGGCCUUCGGGUUGUAAAGCACUUUCAGUCAGGAGGAAAGGUUAGUAGUUAAUACCUGCUAGCUGUGACGUUACUGACAGAAGAAGCACCGGCUAACUCCGUGCCAGCAGCCGCGA
rnacentral:rRNA from 3 species